CCUACGGGUGGCAGCAGUGAGGAAUAUUGGUCAAUGGGCGCGAGCCUGAACCAGCCAAGUCGCGUGAGGGAUGAAGGUUCUAUGGAUCGUAAACCUCUUUUAUAAGGGAAUAAAGUGUGGCACGUGUCCUAUUUUGUAUGUCCCUUAUGAAUAAGGAUCGGCUAACUCCGUGCCAGCAGCCGCGGUAAUACGGAGGAUCCGAGCGUUAUCCGGAUUUAGUGGGUUGAAAGGGAGCGUAGGCGGCCUUUUAAGUCAGUGGUGAAAGUCCGUGGCUCAACCAUAGAAUUGCCGUUGAAACUGGGGGGCUUGAGUAUGUUUGAGGCAGGCGGAAUGCGUGGUGUAGCGGUGAAAUGCUUAGAUAUCACGCAGAACCCCGAGUGCGAAGGCAGCCUGCCAAGCCGUGACUGACGCUGAUGCACGAAAGCGUGGGGAUCAAACAGGAUUAGAUACCCCAGUAGUC
rnacentral:rRNA from 1 species